UACGUAGGGUGCGAGCGUUAAUCGGAUUUACUGGGCGUAAAGCGCGCGUAGGUGGCUUGAUAAGCCGGUUGUGAAAGCCCCGGGCUCAACCUGGGAACGGCAUCCGGAACUGUCAAGCUAGAGUGCAGGAGAGGAAGGUAGAAUUCCCGGUGUAGCGGUGAAAUGCGUAGAGAUCGGGAGGAAUACCAGUGGCGAAGGCGGCCUUCUGGACUGACACUGACACUGAGGUGCGAAAGCGUGGGUAGCAAACAGG
rnacentral:rRNA from 1 species